UACGGAGGGGGCUAGCGUUGUUCGGAAUUACUGGGCGUAAAGCGCACGUAGGCGGCUUUGCAAGUUAGAGGUGAAAGCCCGGGGCUCAACUCCGGAAUUGCCUUUAAAACUGCAUCGCUAGAAUUGUGGAGAGGUAAGUGGAAUUCCGAGUGUAGAGGUGAAAUUCGUAGAUAUUCGGAAGAACACCAGUGGCGAAGGCGGGUCCCUGGACACACCUGACACUGAGGCACGGAAAGCUAGGGGAGCAA
rnacentral:rRNA from 1 species